rnacentral:misc_RNA from 1 species
ACUCUUCAACCCACCAGUUUCUUGUAGACUGAUUGGUGUUUGGAUUUUGAGCGUUGCUGGAUCUUCGGAUCGUAGCUCGUUCGUAAUAUAUUAGCAACUCUAAUUCGAACUCGGAUUGACUCAGUGUAAUAGACUAUUCGCUGAGGACACGUGCUUGCAUGUGGCCGAAUGAGAUCUCAGUAGGAGCUUCCAACUACAGUAGUCAACUUUAGAU